UGAGGAAUUUUCUGCAAUGGGCGAAAGCCUGACAGAGCAAUACCGCGUGAGGGAUGAAGGCCUACGGGUUGUAAACUUCUUUUCUCAAGGAGGAAGAUCUGACGUUACUUGAGGAAUAAGCAUCGGCUAACUUCUGUGCCAGCAGCCGCGGUAAUACAGGGGAUGCAAGUGUUAUCCGGAAUUAUUGGGCGUAAAGCGUCUGCAGGUGGAUUUUUAAGUCUUUUGUUAAAUGUUUGGGCUUAACCCGAAAUCUGCAAAAGAAACUAUUGAUCUUGAGUCUGGUAGAGGUAGAAGGAAUUUCCAGUGGAGCGGUGAAAUGCGUAGAGAUUGGAAAGAACACCAAAAGCGAAGGCAUUCUACUGGGCCAUGACUGACACUCAGAGACGAAAGCUAGGGGAGCAAACAGG
rnacentral:rRNA from 1 species